AGGCUUAACACAUGCAAGUCGAACGCUGUAGCAAUACAGAGUGGCAGACGGGUGAGUAACGCGUGGGAACGUACCCUUUGGUUCGGAAUAACUCAGGGAAACUUGAGCUAAUACCGGAUACGUGCGAGAGCAGAAAGAUUUAUCGCCGAAGGAUCGGCCCGCGUCCGAUUAGCUAGUUGGUGGGGUAAUGGCCCACCAAGGCGACGAUCGGUAGCUGGUCUGAGAGGAUGAUCAGCCACACUGGGACUGAGACACGGCCCAGACUCCUACGGGAGGCAGCAGUGGGGAAUAUUGGACAAUGGGCGCAAGCCUGAUCCAGCCAUGCCGCGUGAGUGAUGAAGGCCUUAGGGUUGUAAAGCUCUUUCGCCAGGGACGAUAAUGACGGUACCUGGAUAAGAAGCCCCGGCUAACUUCGUGCCAGCAGCCGCGGUAAUACGAAGGGGGCUAGCGUUGUUCGGAUUUACUGGGCGUAAAGCGCACGUAGGCGGAUCUUUAAGUCAGGGGUGAAAUCCCGGGGCUCAACCUCGGAACUGCCUUUGAUACUGGGGGUCUCGAGUCCGGGAGAGGUGAGUGGAACUGCGAGUGUAGAGGUGAAAUUCGUAGAUAUUCGCAAGAACACCAGUGGCGAAGGCGGCUCACUGGCCCGGAACUGACGCUGAGGUGCGAAAGCGUGGGGA
rnacentral:rRNA from 1 species